GGCGUGCUUAACACAUGCAAGUCGAACGGAAAGGCCCUGCUUUUGUGGGGUGCUCGAGUGGCGAACGGGUGAGUAACACGUGAGUAACCUGCCCUUGACUUUGGGAUAACUUCAGGAAACUGGGGCUAAUACCGGAUAGGAGCUCCUGCUGCAUGGUGGGGGUUGGAAAGUUUCGGCGGUUGGGGAUGGACUCGCGGCUUAUCAGCUUGUUGGUGGGGUAGUGGCUUACCAAGGCUUUGACGGGUAGCCGGCCUGAGAGGGUGACCGGCCACAUUGGGACUGAGAUACGGCCCAGACUCCUACGGGAGGCAGCAGUGGGGAAUAUUGCACAAUGGGCGGAAGCCUGAUGCAGCAACGCCGCGUGCGGGAUGACGGCCUUCGGGUUGUAAACCGCUUUCGCCUGUGACGAAGCGUGAGUGACGGUAAUGGGUAAAGAAGCACCGGCUAACUACGUGCCAGCAGCCGCGGUGAUACGUAGGGUGCGAGCGUUGUCCGGAUUUAUUGGGCGUAAAGGGCUCGUAGGUGGUUGAUCGCGUCGGAAGUGUAAUCUUGGGGCUUAACCCUGAGCGUGCUUUCGAUACGGGUUGACUUGAGGAAGGUAGGGGAGAAUGGAAUUCCUGGUGGAGCGGUGGAAUGCGCAGAUAUCAGGAGGAACACCAGUGGCGAAGGCGGUUCUCUGGGCCUUUCCUGACGCUGAGGAGCGAAAGCGUGGGGAGCGAACAGGCUUAGAUACCCUGGUAGUCCACGCUGUAAACGGUGGGUACUAGGUGUGGGGUCCAUUCCACAGGUUCCGUGCCGUAGCUAACGCUUUAAGUACCCCGCCUGGGGAGUACGGCCGCAAGGCUAAAACUCAAAGGAAUUGACGGGGCCCCGCACAAGCGGCGGAGCAUGCGGAUUAAUUCGAUGCAACGCGUAGAACCUUACCUGGGUUUGACAUGGAUCGGGAGUGCUCAGAGAUGGGUGUGCCUCUUUUGGGGUCGGUUCACAGGUGGUGCAUGGCUGUCGUCAGCUCGUGUCGUGAGAUGUUGGGUUAAGUCCCGCAACGAGCGCAACCCUUGUUCACUGUUGCCAGCACGUUAUGGUGGGGACUCAGUGGAGACCGCCGGGGUCAACUCGGAGGAAGGUGGGGAUGACGUCAAGUCAUCAUGCCCCUUAUGUCCAGGGCUUCACGCAUGCUACAAUGGCUGGUACAGAGAGUGGCGAGCCUGUGAGGGUGAGCGAAUCUCGGAAAGCCGGUCUCAGUUCGGAUUGGGGUCUGCAACUCGACCUCAUGAAGUCGGAGUCGCUAGUAAUCGCAGAUCAGCAACGCUGCGGUGAAUACGUUCCCGGGGCUUGUACACACCGCCCGUCAAGUCAUGAAAGUUGGUAACACCCGAAGCCGGUGGCCUAACCGUUGUGGGGGAGCCGUCGAAGGUGGGACUGGUGAUUAGGACUAAGUG
rnacentral:rRNA from 1 species